UACGGGGGGGGCAAGCGUUGUUCGGAAUUACUGGGCGUAAAGGGCUCGUAGGCGGCCAACUAAGUCGGAUGUGAAAUCCCCAAGCUUAACUUGGGAACUGCAUCCGAUACUGGAUGGCUUGAAUCCGGGAGAGGGAUGCAGAAUUCCAGGUGUAGCGGUGAAAUGCGUAGAUAUCGGGAGGAAUACCAGUGGCGAAGGCGGCUUUCUGGACUGACACUGACGCUGAGGCGCGAAAGCUAGGGGAGCAAACGGG
rnacentral:rRNA from 1 species